CAAUGCUGCUUUUCUGUGCUCAAAUUGUUGGUUCACAAAAAAUCUACAUUUCACAUCACAAUAGCAAAAAUAUCUCGACACCCUCAUCUUAAAUUGAGCAAUUCCUUCAGCAGAACUUUGCAGUGUGGUUAGGUUGUCCAAAGUGUUUGUGGAAUGGAGAGUCAAGCUGUGAGAAGAAGAGCGAAUGUUAUCGCAGCCCAUCUAGCUUCUCAUGAAGAUAUAUCAGCCACUGCCACGCACGUUUUCCCCAUGAGGUGUAGCAACAGUCUGAACUCUGUUAUCCGAAGAUACGACAACAGGAUGUACUUUGCUCGGCAAGGCUCAGAUUCUCAAGGUUACCACAUGAGACAGGCUAUAAAUGAACAGGGCAACUACGUGCAACCCAGCAUGCCUUCGCAAUCCACGGAUUCUGGAAAGAAGGGGUCUACUUCUCUUGAUGCACCAUCGUAUGCUAGACCUGCUCGAGUGGAACCUGGUCUUCCACCUUUCAAAAGCAUCGAUGCUUCAGAAGGUCCUGUGUAUGCAAGGCCAACUAGAGAAGAAGGGAAACCAGUGUUCAACUCUAUGGAAAAAGCUCGUAAUGUUGCACAAACAGGAUCUGAGUGGUCACCGAGAAUGGAUGUUGUAGAAUCUGGAUUCAAUUAUGUCAUCACAUUAGAAAUCCCCGGUGUUAGUAAUGACAAUGUGAAGGUAGAGGUUGAUGACCAAAGCUUGGUUAUAAGCGGCAACCGGUUAAACCGGUCAUGUGGAGCACUAUGUUCUAACAAGCCGAUCAUGACUUAUCACAGAAGGGAGAUUUCACGGGGGCCAUAUCGAAUCGUUUGGCCACUUCCUAGUAACACAAUGAAGGAUAAUGUUUCAGCAGAAAUUCAGUAAGUUUCAGCUUUUAUUCAUGUGUUGAAGUCAUUAUUAUAGUAACACAGAGAUGUGUGUUGCAUACCAAAGAACAAAUCACUCUGAUAUAAGUACCAUUUACACUUUUACCAGUUAUAUAUUAUAGUUUUAGAUAAAUUUGUGAGAUCAGGUAAAACCAUAGAUUCUAGCAUUAAUCUUUGAAAAGCCUAAGGAAACAAGAGUGGGACUCAAAAUCUGGCAAUUCUAUUUGUGUUCCAUUUCUGCUGUCAAAUUUGAGUCUGAUGAGAAUUUGUUUGUGGUGCAGGGAUGGGCUGCUUCGCGUUACGAUU